rnacentral:rRNA from 1 species
CGAAAGCCUGACGGAGCAAUACCGCGUGAGGGAGGAAGGCUCUUGGGUUGUAAACCUCUUUUCUCAGGGAAGAACAGAAUGACGGUACCUGAGGAAUAAGCAUCGGCUAACUCCGUGCCAGCAGCCGCGGUAAUACGGAGGAUGCAAGCGUUAUCCGGAAUGAUUGGGCGUAAAGGGUCCGCAGGUGGCAUUGUAAGUCUGCUGUUAAAGAGUUUGGCCCAACCAAAUAAGAGCAGUGGAAACUACAAAGCUAGAGUGUGGUCGGGGCAGAGGGAAUUCCUGGUGUAGCGGUGAAAUGCGUAGAUAUCAGGAAGAACACCAGUGGCGAAGGCGCUCUGCUAGGCCGAGACUGACACUGAGGGACG